rnacentral:rRNA from 1 species
GACGAACGCUGGCGGCGUGCUUAACACAUGCAAGUCGAACGGAAAGGCCCUGCUUUUGUGGGGUGCUCGAGUGGCGAACGGGUGAGUAACACGUGAGUAACCUGCUCUUGACUUUGGGAUAACUUCAGGAAACUGGGGCUAAUACCGGAUAGGAGAUCAUGCUGCAUGGUGGGGGUUGGAAAGUUUCGGCGGUUGUGGAUGGACUCGCGGCUUAUCAGCUUGUUGGUGGGGUAGUGGUUUACCAAGGCUUUGACGGGUAGCCGGCAUGGGAGGGAGACCGGCCACAUUGGGACUGAGAUACGGCCCAGACUCCUACGGGAGGCAGAAGUGGGGAAUAUUGCACAAUGGGCGGAAGCCUGAUGCAGCAACGCCGCGGUCGUGAUGACGGCCUUCGGGUUGUAAACCGCUUUCGCCUGUGACGAAGCGUGAGUGACGGUAAUGGGUAAAGAAGCACCGGCUAACUACGUG